GGUUUCAUAGUGUAGUGGUUACGUCAUCACGUCUGCUUUACACGCAGAAAGUCCUGGGUUCAAUCCCCAGUGAAACCU
rnacentral:tRNA from 1 species